rfam:Cicer arietinum chromosome Ca1, whole genome shotgun sequence.
AGAGUAGAUUUGAGCCAGGAUGACUUGCCGGCAUUAAUAUUAAGGUGUUGUUGCUGGUGAGUAAUCUAGGCUCACAUUUGUUCU